ACUUACAUUGUUAGUGUUAUUUUGUAGCAGUGAGGUCAUGCAGAGACGCACAGCAUUAUAAAUCAGUAUAAUGCCGUGCGCUCCAGAGAAACGAGCAGUGUCCAUAACGGGGAAUCAUGCUCACACACGGAGCGCGAUUC